UACGAAGGGGGCUAGCGUUGUUCGGAAUUACUGGGCGUAAAGGGCGCGUAGGCGGCGUGUCAAGUCAGGCGUGAAAGCCCCGGGCUCAACCUGGGAACCGCGCUUGAGACUGGCAUGCUCGAGUUCGGGAGAGGAUGGUGGAAUUCCCAGUGUAGAGGUGAAAUGCGUAGAUAUCUGGAGGAACACCGGGUGGCGAAGGCGGCAUCCUGGACCGAUACUGACACUGAGGAGCGAAAGCCAGGGAGCAAACGGG
rnacentral:rRNA from 1 species